GAAAGAUCUCUCUCUCUCCCUCUCCCCUUCAUGAAAAAGAGAGAAAGCAUUUAACCCUCGAGUGUUCAGUUAGUUUCCUCAGCAACACUGGUCAAGAGUGGUCGCAGCUCCACCCACAUCUGGGCACCCAGGAGGGGCAGGAGCCGCUCUUGGCAGGAAGGCCGCCUGCUGGGCCAGGUCAGGGAUGGCACCUGGACCUGUCACCACACGGCUUCUGUAGAUGCUGGAGGAGCAGCAUGUGGAGCCGGAGCGCCACAGGAGCCUUACGGGCAAACGAAAAUUCUUUCUACUUCUUUUCAUAACACUCUAUCAGGUUUGGAGAAUUCCCCUGGCGCAGAAAGCCUGAAGCACAUUCAUAUCUGUGGAUUGGGGACCCAGUUGGCAGGAUCCUCUCAACAGCUCUGCUCACUUCGAGAGCUACCAGGAGAAUCGUUUCAUGGAGGUGUUGGGAAAGUAGCUGAGCUACAGGAUGCCAGAUAAAACUCCAACACCAAGAAAGAGGACAGAGACAGUGUGCC
rnacentral:lncRNA from 1 species